rnacentral:lncRNA from 1 species
GCCUGAUAAUUUGACUCUAUGUUUUAGCAUGUGUCAACACUUCAACCUACAAGAUGAGUUCCACGUUACGUGGUUCAUGUCAAGAGGAUGGCAAUUUUAGAAAUUUUAGCAUAUCAAGCUUCAUCUAGAAGGAUGAGUUUCAUACUGGGUUGGGCCAGGCUGUUUCUGGGCCGGUGGCCCGAUUCGUCUCGUGCUCGCGCGAGUCCGCGCGCUCCCGCUCAGCCAGGCUGGUUAUGGGCCAAAUUGGCUGGCUUCCGCUCAUGCCACGCAAAAGAAACAUACGCGCGCACAGUCGGCCGAUUUCGCGUUCGCGCGUACGUUCGCGCCAGAUUCGGUCGCGCGACGAACGAAAAAGGUAGUACGGCCGCCAUUAGUCGCGUCCUAUAAAUUUUACAUUCUAAGCCAGUUUUUUGGAUGUGCGACAACAUUUAUGAUACCAAUCAGUUGUCAAUACACUAUAAAAACACAUUUCAUUGUCAAUACACUAUAAAAACACAUUUCAUGAUGGAUCUAAUGAUAUUGAGGUAUUGUAAGUGUUGAUAUUUUUUCUAUAAAUUUGGUCACUUGAAAAGUUGGACUUGGGACAAAAUUGACAUUCCUAUAUUUUGGAAUGGAAUGAGCAAUGACCCCACUGUGUAGGAUCAACUUUUUUUCUUCUGAGAAAUCAAUUUUAACUUUAGUAGUUCAGCUGCGUGUAUAUCAUGCACACGUCGAGUUAGUACAAACCGCAUGGCUUCAAUCUAUAAUCUAAUUGAUCUAGUCAAAUUUCAAAAGAAACUACACAUGAUGAUCCAUUCAUUGAACUACUGAACUUCUCUUUGUGUGCAUGUGCGAAUGGGACUGUAGGUGGACACCUAUACUACCUUAGGGCUUAGAUAGACAUCGGAUGCGCACAUGUUGGGAUCAUGCAUAGCACAGUUAUUUAAUUGGAUGGGAAAAAAAUAUGCAUAUAUACGCUUCCGUGCACUAAUCAUGUUGUCAAUGCACAAGCGUACGUACUACGUACCGGUGGAAAAUUAAUCUGCGAAACACUGAUCCACCACGUGGAAUCGUGGAGAUUUUUUUUAUUUUUAUUUUUGAGAACGUGGAAUCGUGGAGAUGAGUCCGGAGAGUCCCAUUAGGGCAUUACCCAUACGCACAAAGACAUCUUCGCCAGGCCAGAAAAGUACACGGCAUCCAUCUCAAACUAGGCCGAGGUUUCUGAUGGGCUUGAGAGAUAUGGCCGUAGUUUGCGCAGUUUCCCAGCUAGCUCGUAAGUAAGAAGGGCCGCAUCCUACGAGGAUGCCGAGCCGUAACUAAUAAGAGCCCGCGUCCUACGUGUAUGGGCGGGGCACAAGUAAGGAGCUGGAAUGAUUUGCUGGUUCUUAUUUGUCCUGUUCGAAUGAUUUGUUAGUUUUGUCCCGACAGAUCUAGAGAAUUUUUUCUUCGAAGAGUUUUGUGUAACUUUUAGUUUCUUCAGGAUCUUUUGUUGUCGGUUUUUGUUUUAGUUUCUCCAAUACUUUGUACUCUGUUUACUGAAUCAAUAAAGUUAAAUGUUUCUCAAAAGAAAAAAUAUUUGCUAGUUCAAUAUUUUACUUCAGCAAAUGUAAAUAUUUAAUUAUAUAUGAGAUAAAUGAGAUACCGCUUGUAUCAUGCGUCUAGGUCCAGCUGGUUGAAUCUGCAGCGUUUGUCGCUCUGUCGUGCAUUCGUGCCAAGUCACCAGCUAGUAACGGUGCAUGUUGUCUAACGCACACAGCACACAGCACGCAUGCAAGAUUUAGCUAUCAGCACUAUGGGCCAAAAGCAGCAAACACAGGU